GCGGUUGAUAGUGGAUCUGAUUCCUCGUGGUUUUUUUCCUCCAUAUUGGAGGGGAUUUUUCCACGUAAAUCUUCGUUUUAUUUCCUAACAAGUGGUAUCAAAGCUAGGGUGACACAUUGUUUUUAUCCACAUUGUGGCUGCCGCCGCCACCGAGUUUUGCCUUUGUCGAUCUACAGUAGUCGCCGCUCCGAACUUCAACAAAUCAGUUUGUCGCGCCGCUGUGAUCCAUGUCCGGAUCUGCGUCGUCACUGGAUUCUUCCCCAGGCUCAUCAGUGGUUGCGCUAGUUCAUCGUCGACACACAUGAUGUCUCUGUCGGUGAGGAAUCAUGUUGAAUCACCUGCUCAUUUGCAUUCGUGUGCAAGCGACGUGUACUGGUUUUGUGUGUUAGGUGCUUGAUCGAUCUGCAACAGCUCUCAACGAGGGAGUCACACCCACGUGCACCUGCUGUGGUGGAUUCUUGGUGGAUUCUCUCACCGAAGAACAAGGACGUUAUCAUUUCUCUUGUUUCCAAGCACCUUGGCAUUAGUCCAUCACAAGUUCUCAAAUUCAGAUGAAGGCUGUUCUUACCCAGUUGGUUGUUCAAAAGGCAUUGCAGAUGCGACCUGCUGACAUGAAUGAUGAAAAGUGGCAAGAUAUUGAUAAGAGAGCUUUGUUCGCCAUACAACUCAGUUUAUCUUUUCAUGUUCUGCGUGAAGUAAUGCAUGAAAAAUUCGUAGCAACAUUGUGGAAGAAAUUAGAGAAGCUGUAUAUGACCAAGAGUCUUACAAACAAGCUACGUCUCAAGGAGUGUAUUUACACUAUUCGCAUGUCAGAAAGUACAUCUAUGCAGUCACCUCUUAAUGAAUUUAAUUCAAUUAUUGUGGACCUUGAGAGUCUUGAUGUGAAGAUAAGACAAUUUUGUUGGUA